AGCAGCCGCGGUAAUUCCAGCUCCAAUAGCGUAUAUUAAAGUUGUUGCAGUUAAAAAGCUCGUAGUUGAAUUUCGGGAUCAAUAUGUUGGUCGUGCCUUGGUACGUACUGGCAUUAUUGGUUUCUACCUUCUGAAGAACCUCGAUGUCAUUAAUUUGGUGUCUUGGGGAAUCAGGACUGUUACUUUGAAAAAUUAGAGUGUUUAAAGCAGGCUCGCGCUUGAAUACAUUAGCAUGGAAUAAUGAAAUAGGACGUUUGAUUCUAUUUUGUUGGUUUCUAGGAUCGACGUAAUGAUUAAUAGGGAUAGUUGGGGGCAUUAGUAUUCAAUUGUCAGAGGUGAAAUUCUUGGAUUUAUUGAAGACUAACUACUACGAAAGCAUUUGCCAAGGAUGUUUUCAUUAAUCAAGAACGAAAGUUAGGGGAUCGAAGACGAUCAGAUACCGUCGUAGUCUUAACCAUAAACUAUGCCGACUAGGGAUCGGAUGAUGUUAAUUUUUUAAUGUACUCA
rnacentral:rRNA from 1 species